rnacentral:rRNA from 1 species
UACAGAGGGUGCAAGCGUUGUCCGGAUUUAUUGGGCGUAAAGAGUUCGUAGGCUCCUUGAUAAGUUGCCUUUCAAAGACCGGGGCUUAACCUCGGAAAGGGGGGCAAUACUGUCAGGGUUGAGAUGUUUCGGGGCUACUGGAACUUGCGGUGUAGGAGUGAAAUCCGUUGAUAUCGCAAGGAACACCGAGGGCGAAAGCGGGUAGCUAGGAACUAUUUGACGCUGAGGAACGAAAGCCAGGGGAGCGAAAGGG